GACGAACGCUGGCGGCGUGCUUAACACAUGCAAGUCGAACGGAAAGGCCCUGCUCUUGUGGGGUGCUCGAGUGGCGAACGGGUGAGUAACACGUGAGUAACCUGCCCUUAACUUUGGGAUAACUUCAGGAAACUGGGGCUAAUAUCGGAUAGGAGCUCCUGCUGCAUGGGGGGGGUUGGAAAGUUUCGGCGGUUGGGGAUGGACUCGCGGCUUAUCAGCUGGUUGGUGGGGUAGGGGCUUACCAAGUGUAUGACGGGUAGCCGGCCUGAGAGGGUGGACGGCCACAUUGGGACUGAGAGACGGAGCAGACGCCUACGGGACGCAGCAGUGGGGAAUAUUGCACAAUGGGGGGAAGCCUGAUGCAGCAACGCUGCGUGCGGGAUGACGGCCUUCGGGUUGUAAACCGCUUUCGCCUGUGACGAAGAGUGAGUGACGGUAAUGGGUAAAGAAGCACCGGCUAACUACGUG
rnacentral:rRNA from 1 species